GAUGAAGAACGUAGCGAAAUGCGAUAAGUAGUGUGAAUUGCAGAAUUCAGUGAAUCAUCGAAUCUUUGAACGCACAUUGCGCCCCUUGGUAUUCCAUGGGGCAUGCCUGUUCGAGCGUCAUUUGUACCUUCAAGCUUUACUUGGUGUUGGGUGUUUGUCUCGCCUUUGCGUGUAGACUCGCCUUAAAAUAAUUGGCAGCCGGCGUAUUGAUUUCGGAGCGCAGUACAUCUCGCGCUUUGCACUCAUAACGACAGCGUCCAAAAGUACAUUUUACACUCUUGACCUCGGAUCAGGUAGGGAUACCCGCUGAACUUAAGCAUAUCAAUAAGCGGAGGA
rnacentral:misc_RNA from 1 species